UACGGGGGGGGGCAAGCGUUGUUCGGAAUUACUGGGCGUAAAGGGCUCGUAGGCGGCCAACUAAGUCAGACGUGAAAUCCCUCGGCUUAACCGGGGAACUGCGUCUGAUACUGGAUGGCUUGAGGUUGGGAGAGGGAUGCGGAAUUCCAGGUGUAGCGGUGAAAUGCGUAGAUAUCUGGAGGAACACCGGUGGCGAAGGCGGCUCACUGGACCGGUACUGACGCUGAUGCGCGAAAGCGUGGGGAGCAAACGGG
rnacentral:rRNA from 1 species